GACUGCUUGGCGCAAUGGUAGCGCGUGGAUCUCCUAUUGUUCUUGAACAAAAGUCCAAGGUUGCGGGUUCGAGUCCCGUGGUGGUCG